AAAGCGGGGAGUCCACUUAGUUACUGCUAAAAGAUUAAAAUAUCAAUAUCAAAAUAUCUAAUUUAUGAUGCUAAAACGUUUGUUUUAACUGUGAAAGGUGUAUUUUGGAUUAUUCACAAGCACUGUUCAUCUUGGUGACAAACUGCUUGCUGAAAGGGACUUGGCUAUUAAAGCUUCAUUCAGAAGUGACUGAAAUAUUGUUGGAAAGAGAAUUUCCAACCGAGAUACAAGAUGGCGAGCUAAUCCAAAGACGAUCGGUUGAACUGUGCUUCACGCAGGAGCGAGACUUCUGUUUGACAUCCUUCAACCUGAACGCCGGGCCUCCAGGGAGUGUGAUUCUACCACGGCCACAGGAAGCGGUUUUGGUGAUGCAAAUAAGGAUGAGAAGAACGACAAUGAUGACUGAAGCGCCGCAUACGCUAAUCGGCAUCCACAUGCUCGAUUGUUGGCUGACGGUCAACGUGAUGGCAGCGGACGUCAACCUCGUGUCAUUACGCCAGAGUUCGCACCUCCAUCUACCGGCGUCUGAGGGUGCCGCUUCUGGAAUGACGAUGACGGCGGGGUCCGGAUGCCCAGUGGGAAGAAACGGCGUGAUGGAACGCUCAGGAGGGAACCACUUCACCCAGUGGUCUUUGGGCAAGGGGUUGCCCAGGCUGCAAGUUAGAUUGACUUUCUGGCCACUGAGAAGAUUUGAUCCCGCAGAGGAGACAACUAGACGAAGAGAAAGAAAAAACAAUAGUAAAGCUUUAACUCAAUUUAUUUCAAGGUCAUUUUAGAACAUCAUUUUUUUAGUUUUAUACAUACAAGGUCCCCACACUGUAAAAAAACAAAAACAAAAAAAACACAAGACUGGGUGCAAUUAGACACAUUCAAGUAGGCAUGUGCCAAUCACGGUUUCAGAGUAUACCGUGCUAUGAAAAUAUCAAGAUUUCAAAACAGCCAAAAAAAAAACUGCGUCAUAUUGUCCCUACGUUAUGAGCUAUUUUUUAUGCCUCAAAAAUUCAUGGCGAAAUUUGUCGCUUGCAGCUGCAAGGCUCAACCCUCCCCCACCGGUUGUUACUCAUUGUCAGUGAUUCAGCUGUGCUACACGAUGACUGAAGGAGGUGAAAGUCCUGAACUUUUUGCCCCCAUUGAAGAAAACGAAAUUGCUGGUAUGGGAAUACUUCGGCUACAGCCAACCAACAUGUAAAACAUGUUUGCGAGGGUGGCUGCCAAGGAGGCAAUACCUCCGAUAUGAUUUCGCAUUUAUACAAAAUUAAAGGUUAGUAAACAACACUGUCAUGAACGUUUCCCACCAGCUAUGAGAGUUAACUCUAGCGUAUUUAGUGUGUCUAGCGGUGGUAAAACGUGGUGGUUUUUUCUCUCUAGCAACUGUCGGGGCGAUAGGCGGCCUCGUAUCCGGCGACACGUAUCAGGCGUGACGCGCCGCCGCCAGUCAGACCGGAUCGGCCACGUCUCGCGAUGUUGUGCAUUGAAUUUUCACGCCGCAAAGAUGGCCGAGUUCAGUGGCGGAACAAAUGUAAACAGGGCCCGGGUGUGAUGAGCAUUACCCGGACCCCCCAAGUGGACCUUCCAACAUACAGGGCCCCGGUGCGAUGAGCAUAAACGGGACCCCCCAAGUCCCAACAUAUUUUAAGAAAACAAGUAGAAUAUAUUUGAAGUAUGAGUAGUAAAUCUUGCAAGAGUAACCACUUUUAGAUUGUCUUUGGUCGGAUCCCAACUCCAACUCAAAAAAAGACUCACUGUAGUUUCUCUCGAGAUCUUGACUCCUCUGAAGGAAUUAGUAUCUUUUUCCGUAUUACUGGUUGACGGUUUGUAUUACUCCUAACACACCCAAUAUAAAAUAAAUAGCAUUUAAAUCAUAGUUUAGGAAAAGUAUAUAUAUCUGAAGUAUGAGUGGAGUUGGAGUAAUUGGAAUUUGCAGCGCUAAGACAACGGGCAGAUAAGGGCGAUAACAACUACAGGAUGCCUGCUGACUACGGAAGCCCAACGCGCACGUCAUGCAGCUGACUGAACGAGAUUGACGCUGACGGAGAGUGACAAGCAGGGGAUGGCCAUGACAUCUACAAGCCCACGUCUGCACCACCAAAUCCCACAUUAAGCUCUUCUGGUAACCAACAAUGGUCCAGAACGAUGAAAGGACAUCCUUUCCUCCAACAAGGAACAUCUGAUAACAGAGGAACCCGUUGGACACUCAGCACUCAGGUAAGGCUGGCAAAACCCUCUACUCUCGUUGCCCUGACAACAAUAACGCCUGGACUCUCCUGCCCAAUCCAUAACAGACAAUAACUCUAAACAACGCCCAAACACCUUUCUUCCGGAUAAUAGCCCGCCUUCCAAGAGCCUUUAAAAGACUGCAUGUUUAACUAAUGGCUGUCAUUUUUCUCGGGAAUCUUUAGAUCGGUGUCCCUGGAUCCAACCUUCCUCUUCGUCCAGGUCUAUUUAGUGUUUUUGCUUUGCUGUCUGAUUGCU